CAAAGGCGCAUGUAAAACCAAUCUAAUUCAGGGAAACCCUAUCAGAAAUGAGGGCAAUCCUGAGCGAAGCCUUAACAGGAACGUGCAGAGACUAUCGAAAGCAGAAGGUUAACACCUGAGAAGUGAGUAGAGUAGGGACGACAGGAGUUAUCCCGAAACGGUUGGGCUACGAGAGUAGCGUGAUAUAGUCCGAUACUUGUAGUAAUACAAGACGUAAGGAUACUAACAUAUUG
rnacentral:ncRNA from 1 species